UUACGACCACAUCACGUUGAAAAACCGGUUCCCGUACGAUCGCCGAAGUUAAGCAACGUCGAGCCUGGUCAGUACCAAGAUGGGUGACCACUUACGGAUACCAGGUACUGUAA